CUACAGCCGACCGCCAUGGAGGAGGAGAUCGCCUUUCAUCGCAGCUGCCUGUCCGCCCCAGGGAGCCCCAGCGGCCCCAGCCGCAUCCCGGGCCCCGCACGGCGGCGGGACAGCCCCCUCGCUGUCGCAGCCCCCACGAAGCGGAGCUGCCUCUCGGUCACCCUGCGCCGGGCUGCCGGGGCCGGCGGGGGGCUCCCCUGGGAGCGGCUGCGGGGCACGGCCCCUGUCACCCCAAUCCCUCCUCGGCCCCGGCCCGUGGCGGCCGAGGGGCCCCAGCGACACGGCAGCUCUGACGGGGCCGAGGCCACCCCGGUGGCGAAGAUGGAACUGUCCUGCGCCCCACCACGCUCCGGACCAGUGGAGAGCAAAAACGAAGCAGCCAUGUCUGAGCUGGUCCCAGAGCCGCGACAAAAGCCAGUUGUACCAAUGAAGCCCAUGGGCAUCAACGCCAGCUUGCUGGGCUACAUCGGUAUUGACACCAUAAUUGAGCAGAUGCGCAAGAAAACCAUGAAGACAGGUUUCGACUUCAACAUCAUGGUUGUAGGUCAGAGCGGACUGGGAAAGUCAACCCUGGUAAACACCCUCUUCAAAUCCCAGGUGAGCCGCAAAUCUUCAGGCUGGAACCGGGAGGAGAAGAUCCCCAAAACAGUGGAGAUCAAAGCUAUUGGGCACGUCAUUGAAGAAGGUGGUGUCAAAAUGAAGCUGACAGUGAUUGACACACCAGGAUUUGGGGACCAGAUCAACAAUGAGAACUGCUGGGAGCCUAUUGAGAAAUAUAUCAACGAGCAAUAUGAAAAGUUUUUGAAAGAGGAGGUGAAUAUUGCAAGGAAGAAACGAAUUCCAGACACACGUGUGCACUGCUGCCUCUACUUCAUCUCCCCUACGGGACACUCCUUGCGGCCUUUGGACCUGGAGUUCAUGAAACAUCUCAGCAAGGUAGUGAACAUCAUCCCAGUUAUUGCUAAGGCUGACACCAUGACCUUGGAGGAGAAAACCGAAUUCAAACAAAGAGUGCGCAAGGAACUAGAAGUAAAUGGGAUCGAGUUUUAUCCCCAGAAAGAAUUUGAUGAGGACUUGGAGGAUAAAACAGAGAACGACAAAAUCAGGCAGGAAAGCAUGCCCUUUGCAGUAGUGGGCAGUGACAAGGAGUACCAAGUGAAUGGCAAAAGAGUCCUGGGCAGGAAAACACCUUGGGGAAUCAUUGAAGUGGAAAACCUCAAUCACUGUGAAUUUGCCCUGCUUCGAGAUUUUGUCAUCAGGACCCACCUUCAGGACCUAAAAGAAGUGACCCACAACAUCCACUAUGAGACCUACAGGGCCAAACGGCUGAAUGACAAUGGAGGGCUGCCCCCCAUGACUGUCGAGACAGAGGAAAACCACGAAAGUAACCUGUGAAAGACCCUCCCCCUCCACGGUCACCUGGUGACUCUGGAUAGACAACCCACCCCUGCUACCCUUGACUCAACCAUGGGCCUGUCUCUGAAGCAUGUGGCACAUCCUCCGUGGGAGUGAGAGGAUGCAAGUACUACUUCUAAAGGAUCCAUAAAAGCUUGCUAAGAAAAACAAGCUCAGGUACUCCUCACUGCCAUCUGCUCAUGCCAAUGUCCUACCAACAUCCCGUGUACCUACCAGGAAGUCUGCAAACGGCAAAUACAAAAAAAAAUCCCACGUGGCCUGACAACGGGACAUACUAUCGGGAAGAAGUCUCUGUGAAUGGACAAGCUGGGAAAAGUCUGAAUCGAGCGCCACCAGCUGACUUCCAGGAUGACCACAGCAAGUCAGCUGUUCCCCUGAGAUAUCCCGAGUGAUGUUGCAGAGGGGAAGAGUCUAAACCUUACACCAGAGAUGCGCACUCAGCGCAUUCGCAGGCUCACAAGCUGUUCAGCAGAUAAGCCGUUCGCCAGAAAAACUUUGCUAAGCACGGCAAAUCCUGGACAACUUCCACUGAGGCAACCACGGCAGCGAACAGGCGUGGUUGCACUGAGCAGAGAGAGCCAGAGGAGCGAACAGGGCUGCGCGUAGGCAUCAGUGGCUGUGGUUCGUUUUGCGGCCCGGCGCGGGGCCGCCCUCAGAGCGUCCCCUCCGCCACCGGCGGCCAUUAAACCAAGCGAGCGCC